UUUCAGGUAACUGCCUGUUGGAUAUGGAUGAAACCAAUGUCCAAUUGCAGUCAAUAGACGUAGAGAAUAAGAUGGACCAGAUAGGUAAACAUGAUCAAUAACAAAAUAGUAAACACGAUCAACCCGUAAAAGCCAACAUAAAUAAUUGUUUACCAAAAACGAUAAACAUUAGCUUUAACGAUAUUCAUUUCGACAACAACUACAACAAUCUGAAUACUAUGGCGCCAAUAGUGCCUAUUUAAAUUCAUAUUCAUUCCUUAUGAGGAUUAUGAACAGAUUAUAUUCAGAUUCAAUUUUGUAUCGAAGUCAUUAACUUCGACUCUCACUUUGUUCAUACAUCUCAUAUCAGUAAUCCAUACACAUUUUCUUGGUGUGAAUAUAUCUCUUUCAAAAGACAACUCCUGCACAAUAAUUGAAAACUAACAGACAAUACUCCUAAUUGUCAAUUUUCCUUUUGUUGCUUCUUGGCCGUAUCGUACAUCUUAAAUUGUCUAUUGUGCUCACGCAAAUAUGACAACUAAUCGAAUACCCUAAAAAAAAAGAAUCAUAUUAAAAAAAACAACCAUUUGAUUUUCUGGGGGGGGGGGGGGGGGGGGGCUAUGGUUUUUUUGGAAAAAAAGUUUGUUUCCAUUUUUUGGAGAAAAAAAAUAAUUUGUUUUUGAUUCUGAAAAAAAAAAUUGUUUGUUUCACCUUCAGCUGCCACUAUAUGUAAUGCUAAAAUUGAAAGAAAAAAAUUGUUUUCAACUUGUCGCGAAAAAAAAAAAUUUGUCCAGAAAAAAAAACCGUAGCCCCCCCAGAAAAUCAAAUGGUUGCUGCCUUAUCGAUGUCAAACGGUCUUAUACAUACUCGAAAACAUUGAGGCUGAUAAAGCAGUGCACAAAGGUGUGAUAUCUCAUAUGCAUUCUAUGAAUGUAUGUAUUUUGUAUGCAUUUUGUCGUCAUUUAUAAAUUUGCUUUGGUGUUAAAACUUAUGACCUUUACUGUUAAAGAUAAGCAGUUUAAUUACUGCAUCGUCUUAAUGUUUCCCUUUUGAAUAUAAGUAUUCAUUACAAUGUGAUACAUUAUAAAGAAAACAUACAUCAGGAAAUUUGUAUGGUGCUAGUCACGAGUCUAAUUAAAAUGUAUCUGGGUCUUAUAAAAUUAUUUUAAAGUAUAUCAAUUACCUGAUAAAAUGAAGAAUUGCUAUGCGAUGCAUUAUUCAUGAGUCAAACCGAUUAAUUAUUUAAUGUUUGAUUUCUUCACGAUUGCUCUCUGAAGAUAUACAGUGUCUUUAGAAACACUGUAGGUCAUCAAACGGCCUUCACAAAUUAACACACCACACAGUAUUGCAAUCUAUCAAAGGCCUUGACAAUGACAAAAUGUUUAACAAUUCUAACGAGAAACGAUAAAGGUAUCAGCGUGAUUUAUGUCAAAACAAUAAACGAAAACAGUUGUAACAGAUAGUAACAAACGACAAUUACUUAUUUGUAGGCUCCUGACUUAGGACAGGCACAUACAGAAUGAAGCGGUUAAAAUAAUGUAUGUGCUUCGUUCGUUUGAUGCUUUGUAUCUAUAUUUCAAAUUUCGAGAAUUAUUUUCCUGACGAAAAGAAAUCCAUAUCCCAAAAAAAUGGGUAAUUUUUCUAGCAUGCUGAAAUUCAUGUCCACUUGUAUAUAAUUUAUGGAAUAAGUGGCACGCAUUUAUCCAUCACAUAUGUCAUUCCAUAAGAUUGUGAUUUAACAUAACAGGGCGAAAAUUUAAAAUAAUAUCGUUAAUUUCUUUGCUUUACUUUAUUCUUUUGUUCUUAUACAACCCAACUGUCUAAACGUCUGUUUUAAUUUUCUAUGGCAAUGACACAUUCUCUAGGUGUAUUUCUACGAUUCAGAUUUAACAUAUGGUAUAAUUUGAUGUUUGAAUAUAUCUAAUUUAAUUUUGAAUAUCUAAAAUACGGUCUUAUUUGAUUUUUAGAAGUAACUUGAUGAUAAACGUUUUGAGAGUGUCUACUAGCUGCUACAACUGUUGAACUGAAUAGUGUAAUUUGUUUAUCCAGAUGUUGGCUGAAUCAAAUUGUAGAACAUCGUUCUGGGUCGUAAAUCUUGGAAUUUCUAACAAAGAUUUGAAAAACAACACAAUACUUACACCAAUGGAAGCCGAAUUGCCAAAUCACUUAUGAGUAUGACAAACUACGCUAUAAUCGACCGC
rnacentral:lncRNA from 1 species